GAUGAAUGCUGGCGGCGUGCCUAACACAUGCAAGUCGAGCGGCAGCGAGGGGUGCUUGCACCCUGUCGGCGAGCGGCGAACGGCUGAGUAACGCGUAGGAAUUUGCCCCAAAGUGAGGAAUAACUGCCCGAAAGGGUAGCUAAUGCCGCAUAUGGUCCUCGGAUUAAAGGAUUUAUCCGCUUUGGGAGAAGCCUGCGUUGGAUUAGGUUGUUGGUAGGGUAAUGGCCUACCAAGCCGACGAUCCAUAGCUGGUCUGAGAGGAUGAUCAGCCAGACUGGAACUGAGACACGGUCCAGACUCCUACGGGAAGCAGCAGUGAGGAAUCUUCCACAAUGGGCGAAAGCCUGAUGGAGCAACGCCGCGUGAAGGAUGAAGGCCUUCGGGUUGUAAACUUCUUUUAUGAGUGAAGAAUAUGACGGUAACUCAUGAAUAAGCACCGGCUAACUACGUG
rnacentral:rRNA from 1 species